GCAGUUUACCCACCGUGGAGUCUGACAAGUGUUGGGAUAUCUGCAUUAGAAAGAACCCACAUCAUUUGAUACCUAAGCUAUUUUACCUAUCCUGAGAAGGUAAAAAGUAUCAAAAUCUUAUGGAAGAAAGCUGAAAAAAUUGUUAGCACCACUCCAUCCUGGGAUGAAUUUGCUGCAGGGUGGGAAACAACUGUCAUAAAGGUCUGUCAAGCUGGUUUGCAGUUCUUGAGGUGCUAAAGGACAAGAAGAGGUCAGAAUCUGGAAGAAUUCAAAGAGGAAAUUUGUUGAAAUUUCUAAAUAUUUAGCCAAGGUUAUAGUUACUGAUGUAAUCGAGGAUGGAUCAUUUGCUUUUGAGGAUAUUGUUGGGGGGGUUUUGCCUAGUUCAUGUAUCAUAUUGGAAUUGAGAUCUGGGAGCACCAACACAGCAUUUCCAAGAUUAAACACCACAGAGAGCUUCAGGAACUGCACCCAGCAAUUUCCAAAGAGGGCUAUAUUUGCAUGGACCUUGAUAAGAAGAAAAUCCACGUAUUCUUUCCUUCAGAAUUCUUCUUCUAACUUCUAAUUAAUUUUGCACAUCCUCUGAGAUGCACUUCCACCUUCCAGAAAAGCCCUCCCAAUUUGUAUCAACUGCUAAUUCUCUGCUCCUUCUGGAGAUUCUCACUGCUGCUUCAUGGAUCCAUUGAAAGGCUUUCCUUUGAGAAGCUGCCCCCACUGCUGUGCCAGUGAUUGGUGCUGGCAAGGAGGACUUGUGGCUCUCGUGAGAGUUCACCUGGCAGUCAUCAACAGCAAACCCCGUGUGCUGGAGCUGGGAGCGGGAAGGCCGCGGAGGGAACAGGGCGGAAAAUGGAAAUGGAAUUGGGAAGUGGCGGGCCCAGCUGACUUCUCUGAACCCUGGGCAGUGUGGCAUCUCUGGAAUCAGCCCCUUUGCUGUGGCUCCCCAGGCUCUGGGACUGGAUUUGGCAGGGUCUGUGCUGCACUACAGCAGGAAGCUGGACUCUAAACCUGUGAAAUCUGUGGUAAAGCAUGCCAAGGUUUUUCAUCUGAGCUGAUGUUAGUGUGCCACUUUGCUCUCUACAUCAUUUUGUAUCUUUUAAUUUAUAGGAAAUUUUGGUACCUAAAAAAAAGAGGCUCCUUUAUAAUCAAAUGCAAAUGCUCAGUUCUCUUGGCAAUAGUUUUCCACUGCCUAUCCCUGUGAAGACUGGUUAAUUGUCUGAUUUAACACCAAUUCCUCAUGAUGGCAGCUGACAGGAACACGUAUGGGAUACCUGAGACUAGUCCAGGGUUCUGAAAUUGUCCAGCACCUCAAAACAUGAUCUGACUUGUUUGGUGCUGAAGAACACCUGAAGGUUAUUAGAACUUGUGCAAGGUACAGUCAAGCCUUCAUUUAGUGCUGUACUAUAUGGUUUGUAAAGUGUAACAGCUCUAAAGUUAUACAUUAACACCAUGAAUUUGUAGUGGGUUUUGCAUAUUACAUUAAUUCCAGUUAAUAGGGAAUUAGUGCCACCCAAUGUAAAAAUGUAACCCAAGUGUCUCUGAUACUAGAAGGGAAGGCCUUCUCAUUCUUUCUCUCCCAUUUGCAGUAAACAUUAGGGAAAUAAAAAUUACCAUGGAUUAUGGAGCUGUUAAAUAUUAUAUAUUCCUGUGCUAUUAAAUGUCAUCUAUUGCCAUUACAUAAACCUUACCUUUGAUUAGCAACAAAUAUUCUGCUUUAUUCUGAGAAACUGGCCUUUUCGUAAUGCUCUAAAGGAUUAAUUCUGGUAAUGAAAUAUUUCCCUGUCACAGUCUUGUGUAAACUGUAAUUAUUUUGGCCCCAGUUCUGCAAAGGCCUAUGCAAGUCCCUAAUUGCACUCAGGUGAGGAGAAUUAAGUGCGUGCAUAAAUAUUAAUGUGGGUAGAAGCAAGGUCCUAUGUGUAGCUUUUUCUCCUUUUACCAAACGUAUAAGCCUGAAUUCCAGUCUCUCUGGCUGUUUUAUAGGAGGAAAAUAACACUUAAUAAAAAUUAGUGAGGGCAAAGAUAAAUACAAUGAAGGAAUGCUCUGGCUCCCCAAUAAUUAAUUACCUAUCACUUAUCUGUUUUAUUCUGUUGGUUUUGAAGUAAGAGUGUACCAGCCCAUGACACCUUGAAAAGAGUCAGGGUGAAGUAGAAGUAAAUAUUACUGGAGCUUUUGAGAAUGUUUAGGUCAUGAUGCUAUAACCACUUCCAGGUGGGCAGAAAAGCCAGUGCAUUGGUUUUGUUGUAUGACUGACAGUGUGUUGUAAAUGAGGUGUGAGGAGAAAAGUGCCCAAUCUCAGCUAUUCUUUAAUUAUCUUUAUUAUCUUUAUUUAAUUAUUCUUUAAUUAUCGUUAAUGUCUGGCUGAACCUGAGCAUGCAACUACAAGAGAAUGAGGGCCAAAACCCCCCAGCAUCUCUGUUUCUAAUGUGAGUUUUGUGAAAUUUGUCAUUUGGUUACAUUAAAAUUUAUAAUGGGAUACAUAAUUCUUCUUAAAACCCCAAAUUUAUAAAAAUUGUAGAAUCAAAUAAAUCUUUAAAAAUCCAACCUAUAAUCUGGCUUAAUAAACUUGACUUUGAGCCAUUAGAAAGACAGCUGUUAUUUUGAGACAUAAGCAAUGAAUAUUGUGAGGGAUUUUACAAUAAAUUUCAGCACAAUCCAAAUUUUUAACAAAAAUACGAUACUUAGGGAGAAAUGCAUCUGGAUAGGAUGUUUUGACUAUUACAGUGUGAAGUGACUAGUGUAAAAAGUCCUUUAAUAAAUAAACUGCAUACAUUUCCUUCCCCACCACAGUAAUUUUAAAAAUGCAUUAUUUUUAAGGGAUAGACAUAAUAGAAGAUUCAAAAUCUAAUUGUAAAAGCAAUAAUUUGUGUCAUGCACUCAUUUAUUUUUUUUCACGGCUCCAAUUUAACUCAUUUUUUUGUUACCACAAUGUAAAUGAUAAACAUGUUUGUAGCUGCCUUUAUAUCAGGUUAUAUAUUAAAAGCUCUCAGGUUUGCUGCUCAUUCUGGUACACAGAAAAUGCUUUUUGGAACAAAUUACACAACAUGGCACUCUCUGGGUUUUCAGAUAGAUGUUGGGUCUAAUUGUAAAGAGUUUGCCUGUUUAAGAGGGUCUUUGAUUGACACAAGUGGAAAGCUGAGGUGCUGCUGCUGAGCUGAGCUGGAUGGUAAUGCCAAAAUUAUCUACCAGGGGCUAAAGGGAGACAUGCUGCUCCCAAAAAUUUGUCAUUUCCUCUCUUUGGAACACGAGGGGAGAGCUGCAGUGCCCACCCUGCAAUCCCCCUCCUUUUGAUUGGAUGGCCUGGAUAACACAAGCUACAAACCUAGAAAAGUGGUCAUAAACCCAGGGACUUAAACACCCCAAAAUCUGCCCAAAACUGGUGGAGAAACUGAGGAAUAUGACCAUCAGCUUGAAUAAAGAGUAACUGGGGAUUAAAAAGAAACUUUGAAAAAAAUCUGGAGCCAACUUGAGAAGGAGCAACAAAGCAAUGACGUGUUUGGGGCGGGGCAUCUGGGGAGGGCUUUGGGGUUUGUGUGCCUUGGAGGUGGCAUGGGAAGGUCUGGAGCAUCUGCAAAUACUUAUUAACACUUUACAAGUGUCCAAUGUUGUGCUGAAUCUCUUCUACUGCUGGUAUAGACCCUGAAUACCCAGGUCACAGAUUGCCAGUUAUUUAUGAGCUGUUAAUAAAUCGAUAAAACUUCUGAUCUUGAUUUGAUUUAAACCACCUGAACUGAGGAGAUUUUCCCUGUAACCAUUGUGUAUUUCAGGGGGAUGUUUUAGGCCUUGGUAAUUUCUGCUUCCUUGUACAAGAAAUUUCUUUUUCUUUCUCAUAACUUUUCCUCCUUGUCAUGCCCCAAAUUUCUAUAUUUGUUAAAGAUGUCAUAAAAUUAGCUUCUGGACUCUAGCGGAGCCAGGAAAGUUUUUUUCCCCCAGUUUUUUCCAUGCCAUCAUUUUGCGAGUGAAUUAAAUACAAGGAGAAGAGAUGAUCAAAUAGCCUUUGUACUAAGACCAUUUAUAGGAUUAUACAUUUAAUUUAUGUAUAAUAAAAACCCUUAUAAAACAUGCCGGGUAGUGGAAUGUGGAAGAUAAACAAACAAACAAAAAAAUCCACUCAUAAAAGCACAGGAGUGCAGAUUCCUGUGGGAUCCUGUCCCCUUCUCUGAGCACAUUUAAAUUCAAUUAGCACACCGAGAUAUAUUCCAGACCCUUUAGUCCAACUGUGCCUUCUGAGGUGGAAAACACAGAGCAAACCCCCCUUUCUAUUGGGAUCUAUUUUUAACUCUCAGGGCGCAUUUUAGAGAUCAGCAAGAGGUACAGAAAGUCAGUGCAGCUUUGCUUGCCUGUGAUCUUGUGCUGCAGCAAGGGCAGCAAAUGCCUUUCUCCAAGUGAGCUGCUUUGUCUAUUUUCUGAGCCAUUUCUUUGAACUGCCUCUCAUUAAAGAGAAAAUAGCAUUUUGCUGCUUCAGAUUUGCUGGGAGAUUCAUAUUAAGCUACAAAGAAGAUCCUCUCCACGCUCCUGUGAUCAAGCUGUGUACGAUGAGUGGAACUGGUCCCUGCAUGCAGUAGCAGUGCAAGGCUUAUUGCAUCUCUCAGGUCCCAAUUAUGCUUUUGGAAGUGCUCCCUCCCAUUAUGAAGGCAAAUUUGCUCACAGAUGCAUUGUACCCAGAAUGAUCCACUUCUGCUGCAUGGUGAGCUUUAUUGAGGUUUCCCAAGCCUGCCUUUUCCUGAGAUUUUUUCCAGGAUUUUAUGCUUUUGAAGAAAUACCUGUGUAAUGUGUUACAGGAUGCUGAAUAAUCCACAUUAUUCCUGCUUUUUAAUCAAAUUUCUGCAGUUCCUCUACUUUCAAAAUCCAUAUUUCUAGACAACCACAUGCACCAUAUCUUUAAAACGGAGGGAGGAUUUUCAUGUUGCUUAUGCAUCCUGUGAUUUUAAGGCAUGUUGCCUUUGCAGGAGAAAAAGCCAGAAGCUUUUCCUCUACACUGGGUAAUGAAAAAAGUAUAUUUCAAGGUGACAAAUGCCAAUAUUUCAAUGCUCAAGAAAAAAAAGGAAUUGUCUACUAUGUCUAGAGAAUUGUGCAAGCAUCCUGCUUUGAAGAAAUGUGAUUGAGAGAUGCUGGUCCGCCCUAUCUACCCCGGGUUGGUGGGUCCUGGUGAAGAUUUACCAGCUGAGCAGUCCUCAAGAGGUAUAACAGGAAGUGUAUGUUCUCUGCUUGCAGUUCCUGAAGACAAGGUUGCAGUGAUGAAGGGAAAAUGAUGACAGCAUACAAAAAGAGGAGCUGAUGCUACUCCUUUUUUCUGACCUUUCUUCACUGCUGAAUAUUGUGAAAUAAAUGAGGUGCAGAGAAUUUUUUUUUUUUUGGUGAGUUUGGGUCUUUAUCUGCACACAAAUAAUCAAGGUUUGCCAAAUGACUGAAAGGGUCCCACUUAUUUUGAAAGUUUUACAAUGCUAUGUAUACUCUUUCUCAAAUGUCCUCUUAUAAUAGUCCUGAAGAGUCAUCUUGUAUCUCCAGUCCUGAACAACAUUUUUGGAUGUAUUUAUUUGUUGGAUUUAUAUAAUUGCAUAACACAGCAACAGCUGAGAAGAUCUACACAUUCAACCAAUUUUCUCAAUGUAAAAAUCAUGUUUGUCUAUUCAUUAAUGGACACACCAAAAUGAUGGAAAGAAACACAAAAUUGUAUCUGAAUAUGAAUUGCUGUUGAUUUGAACUUCCUGUCUGAUAAACAGAGUCUCAGCAUUUGCAAGUACCUAUCUGGUCACAUAUGAUUUAUUGCUAACUGGGCAUAUAAGGCAGUUGCAUUUGCAUUUCACAAUUCCUAUGAAGAAACACGUGCUAUUUCUUCACGCCACUGAAAAAUACAGUAAACUUUCUUCUACUCUUGAUUUUUAUUUUAAAAGAGUCUGUGGGAAGGUGUUUUAUGUUUUUUGACAGCAGUAAAAAUUGAGUCAAAUAUUUGAUUCCAAUAUGGAAUUCCUGCUGUCUGUUAAGAAUUAAGUAGAGGGCUAAUUGUAGCACAUUUAUUUGUUAGAGCAAGAUUUUAAAAUACAUACCUCACAGUGUGAUUCAUUUAUCUUAAAUAAGUUAUUUGUUCUCCACAGUGUAAUCUUUUCAGGGAGAUAUCAAACAUAGUUUUAAUGCAAACUCUACUGUAGGGAAAUAAAACAUAUAGGGGAACCAAUGUAGUCAUAUUCCAUUUCCAUCUGUUCUUUCCCCUGUUAACCUCAAAUUUGCUUCAGUCCAGAUCUGCUACAGAUGCUGCCAUUUUUAUAGUCUGUUAUUCUUUCCUGGGACUGUGUUUUGUGUGUUGAAGGCAGAAUAAAUUCAGAGAGGGUUUGGAAAAAAUUC